UGUGAUCGCCACAUUCUUCUUUCU
rnacentral:siRNA from 1 species